UACGUAGGGUGCAAGCGUUAUCCGGAAUCACUGGGCGUAAAGCGUGCGUAGGUGGGAAUUUAAGUGUGAUGUUAAAUCGUGUGGCUCAACCAUAUCGAUGCAUCGCAUACUGGGUUCCUAGAGGACGGCAGAGGCAAGUGGGAUUAGCAGUGUAGCAGUGAAAUGCGUAGAUAUUGCUAGGAACACCAAUGGCGAAGGCAGCUUGCUGGGCCACUCCUGACACUGAGGUACGAAAGCGUGGGGAGCGAACAGG
rnacentral:rRNA from 1 species